GGACAACCUACCCUUGGGACGGGGAUAAACCCGGGAAACUGGGUAUAAUACCCGAUAGGUCUCGGAUGCUGGAAUGCUUCGAGAUUUAAAACUCCGGUGCCCAAGGAUGGGUCUGCGGCCUAUCAGGUUGUAGUGGGUGUAGCGUACCUACUAGCCUACGACGGGUACGGGUUGUGAGAGCAAGAGCCCGGAGAUGGAUUCUGAGACACGAAUCCAGGCCCUACGGGGUGCAGCAGGCGCGAAAACUUUACAAUGCCGGCAACGGCGAUAAGGGAACCUCGAGUGCCAGGUUACAAAUCUGGCUGUCGUGAUGCCUAAAAAGCAUUGCAUAGCAAGGGCCGGGCAAGACCGGUGCCAGCCGCCGCGGUAACACCGGCGGCUCGAGUGGUAACCGUUAUUAUUGGGUCUAAAGGGUCUGUAGCCGGCCGGAUAAGUCUCUUGGGAAAUCCAGCAGCUCAACUGUUGGGCUUUCAGGAGAUACUGUCUGGCUCGAGGCCGGGAGAGGUGAGAGGUACUUCAGGGGUAGGGGUGAAAUCUUGUAAUCCUUGAAGGACCACCAGUGGCGAAGGCGUCUCACCAGAACGGACCUGACGGCAAGGGACGAAAGCUAGGGGCACGAACCGGAUUAGAUACCCGGGUAGUCCUAGCCGUAAACGAUACUCGCUAGGUGUCGGCCACGGUGCGACCGUUGUCGGUGCCGUAGGGAAGCCGUGAAGCGAGCCACCUGGGAAGUACGGCCGCAAGGCUGAAACUUAA
rnacentral:rRNA from 1 species